CGAACGGUGAAGCCCAGCUUGCUGGGUGGAUCAGUGGCGAACGGGUGAGUAACACGUGAGCAAUCUGCCCCUGACUCUGGGAUAAGCGCUGGAAACGGCGUCUAAUACUGGAUACGAACCGUGGAGGCAUCUUCAACGGUUGGAAAGAUUUUUUGGUCAGGGAUGAGCUCGCGGCCUAUCAGCUUGUUGGUGAGGUAAUGGCUCACCAAGGCGUCGACGGGUAGCCGGCCUGAGAGGGUGACCGGCCACACUGGGACUGAGACACGGCCCAGACUCCUACGGGAGGCAGCAGUGGGGAAUAUUGCACAAUGGGCGAAAGCCUGAUGCAGCAACGCCGCGUGAGGGAUGACGGCCUUCGGGUUGUAAACCUCUUUUAGCAGGGAAGAAGCGAAAGUGACGGUACCUGCAGAAAAAGCGCCGGCUAACUACGUGCCAGCAGCCGCGGUAAUACGUAGGGCGCAAGCGUUAUCCGGAAUUAUUGGGCGUAAAGAGCUCGUAGGCGGUUUGUCGCGUCUGCUGUGAAAUCCCGAGGCUCAACUUCGGGUCUGCAGUGGGUACGGGCAGACUAGAGUGCGGUAGGGGAGAUUGGAAUUCCUGGUGUAGCGGUGGAAUGCGCAGAUAUCAGGAGGAACACCGAUGGCGAAGGCAGAUCUCUGGGCCGUAACUGACGCUGAGGAGCGAAAGGGUGGGGAGCAAACAGGCUUAGAUACCCUGGUAGUCCACCCCGUAAACGUUGGGAACUAGUUGUGGGGUCCAUUCCACGGAUUCCGUGACGCAGCUAACGCAUUAAGUUCCCCGCCUGGGGAGUACGGCCGCAAGGCUAAAACUCAAAGGAAUUGACGGGGACCCGCACAAGCGGCGGAGCAUGCGGAUUAAUUCGAUGCAACGCGAAGAACCUUACCAAGGCUUGACAUAUACGAGAACGCUGCAGAAAUGUAGAACUCUUUGGACACUCGUAAACAGGUGGUGCAUGGUUGUCGUCAGCUCGUGUCGUGAGAUGUUGGGUUAAGUCCCGCAACGAGCGCAACCCUCGUUCUAUGUUGCCAGCACGUAAUGGUGGGAACUCAUGGGAUACUGCCGGGGUCAACUCGGAGGAAGGUGGGGAUGACGUCAAAUCAUCAUGCCCCUUAUGUCUUGGGCUUCACGCAUGCUACAAUGGCCGGUACAAAGGGCUGCAAUACCGUGAGGUGGAGCGAAUCCCAAAAAGCCGGUCCCAGUUCGGAUUGAGGUCUGCAACUCGACCUCAUGAAGUCGGAGUCGCUAGUAAUCGCAGAUCAGCAACGCUGCGGUGAAUACGUUCCCGGGUCUUGUACACACCGCCCGUCAAGUCAUGAAAGUCGGUAACACCUGAAGCCGGUGGCCCAACC
rnacentral:rRNA from 1 species